rnacentral:rRNA from 1 species
ACUCUCGGCAAUGGAUAUCUCGGCUCUUGCAUCGAUGAAGAACGUAGCGAAAUGCGAUACUUGGUGUGAAUUGCAAAAUCCUGUGAACCAUCGAGUCUUUGAACGCAAGUUGCGCCUGAAGCCAUUAGGUUGAAGGCACGUCUGCCUAGGUGUC